rnacentral:rRNA from 1 species
ACUCAAAUGAAUUGACGGGGGCUCACACAAGCGGUGGAGCAUGUUGCUUAAUUCGAGGCAACGCGAAGAACCUUACCUGGGUUUGACAUGCUUGGAUUAACCCCAUGAAAGUGGGGCCACGCCCGCAAGGGUGGAACAAGCACAGGUGCUGCAUGGCUGUCGUCAGCUCGUGCUGUGAAGUGUCGGGUUAAGUCCUCUAACGAGCGCAACCCCUGUCGUCAGUUGCUCACGCGUCAAGGCGAGUACUCUGGCGAGACUGCCGGCGUCAAGCCGGAGGAAGGCGGGGAUGACGUCAAGUCCUCAUGGCCCUUACAUCCAGGGUUGCAAACGUGCUACAAUGGCGCGCACAAAGCGACGCGAGGCCGCGAGGCGGAGCAAAUCGCAAAAAACGCGCCCCAGUUCGGAUUGCAGGCUGCAACUCGCCUGCAUGAAGUCGGAAUCGCUAGUAAUCGGAGAUCAGCUACGCUCCGGUGAAUACGUUCCUGAGCCUUGUACACACCGCCCGU